rnacentral:misc_RNA from 1 species
GAUGAAGAACGCAGCAAAAUGCGAUAAGUAAUGUGAAUUGCAGAAUUCAGUGAAUCAUCGAAUCUUUGAACGCACAUUGCGCCCGCCAGUAUUCUGGCGGGCAUGCCUGUUCGAGCGUCAUUUCAACCAUCAAGCCCCAGGCUUGUGUUGGGGACCUGCGGCUGCCGCAGGCCCUGAAAACCAGUGGCGGGCUCGCUAGUCACACCGAGCGUAGUAGCAUACACAUCGCUCAGGGCGUGCUGCGGGUUCCGGCCGUUAAACCCCUUUUUUACCCAAGGUUGACCUCGGAUCAGGUAGGAAGACCCGCUGAACUUAAGCAUAUCAUAAGCGGAGGA